GUGGUCAUGUGACUAUCGCAGAGCAGCAGCAGCACUGUGGCGGAGCGCGAGCCAUCCGAGAGAGAGAGAGGGAGAGAGAGGGAGAGAGAGGCAGAAGUUCAGCCUCAGUAUCUCUAUCGGCGCUUCUCACACACUGAGCCUAUACAGACCUCGCGCGCACGCUGGUGGUCUCGAAUGGACUGGACUCGGCGUUAGUGAGGGCGAAACUAAACCAAGCUCAGCGGGCAUGCCGGAGUUCCGACAGUUAGCGGAGUUUUUUUGACCUUCGCCGACGAAGUAAGAGAUUUAUUUCCUUGCUCUCAUUGUAAUUCACAACAGCGCGUGUUCGUUUGAAGCCUAAUCAGCAGAUGGUGGUUCAUAAAUCAGUGCGGCGAGAGUGUUUCUGAGGAAAGAAGCCCUCGUUGACUGGAAGCAGGAGUUUGACCGACCGCACUGCUGUGGAGAGACGGAGAGAGAGACACACGCACUCACAGAGAGAGAGAGAGCUCUGAAAUAACUGAGGGAAUUAGUGGCCAAGCUGUGCUAUUCUCCCUCCUCACAUCUGCUUUUCGAGGUUUUUAGGUAGUCUUUUAAAUAUGGUGGGGGAAAUGGAAACGAAGGAGAAGCCCAAGCCCACUCCUGACUAUCUGAUGCAGCUCAUGAACGACAAGAAGCUGAUGAGCAGCCUGCCCAACUUCUGCGGGAUUUUCAACCACCUAGAGCGGCUACUGGACGAAGAGAUUGGCCGGGUACGGAAGGACAUGUACAAUGACACACUCAACGGCAGUACAGACAAAAGGACAUCAGAGCUGCCAGACGCCGUGGGGCCUAUUGCUCAGCUCCAGGAGAAACUCUACGUGCCUGUAAAAGAAUAUCCAGAUUUCAACUUUGUGGGGAGAAUCCUCGGGCCUCGUGGGCUCACUGCCAAACAGCUGGAGGCUGAAACAGGCUGCAAGAUCAUGGUGCGGGGAAAGGGCUCCAUGAGAGACAAGAAGAAGGAGGAGCAGAAUCGAGGUAAGCCAAACUGGGAGCACCUGAACGAGGACCUGCAUGUGCUCAUCACAGUGGAGGACUCACAGAACCGUGCAGAGAUCAAACUGAAGAGAGCUGUGGAGGAGGUGAAGAAGCUGCUGGUCCCUGCAGCUGAGGGUGAAGACAGCUUGAAAAAGAUGCAGCUGAUGGAGCUGGCCAUCCUCAACGGCACGUACCGAGAUGCCAAUGUCAAGUCACCAGCCCUGGCGUUCUCUCUGGCCGCCACUGCCCAGGCUCCCCGCAUCAUCACCGGCCCCUCCCCUGUGAUGCCUACCGCCGCCCUUCGUGCUCCUGCCCCUGCUGCCCCCACCCUCAUGCCCCUCAUCCGACAGAUCCAAACCUCCGCCAUCAUGCCCACGGGCACCCCUCACCCCGCCGCCACCCUGGUGCCUCAGACCCCUGAGUCAGGCAUUAUCUACACCCCAUACGAGUACCCCUACACCCUGGCCCCUGCCACCUCCAUCCUUGAGUAUCCCAUCGACUCCAGUGGUGUAUUAGGUAUGGCUUUCCCAACAAAGGGCUAGUAAUGUUCGUGGACAGUCUGCAUCCAUCACAAGUGUUAACAUGCUUUGUUUUUGUAGCUGUCACAGAACAAGUGAACAUUAAACAACAAGGACCCCUAACAGUGUGUUAGCUAAAGAACAAACAAAUAUAAAAUAUUGUUACUACUGAUGUUUACACUGGUCUUAACUUCCAGACUUUUUCUAUUUCAUUGGUUCAUCUUUGACUUACAAAUUAAAACUGAUGCGUAGAAUACUGAAGAUUAACUAAAUUUAUCACUCUCAGUGUUCUUUGAAUAAUAUUGCAGCCUACAGUUCGAGCCCAUGUCAGGUGCAAUCCCUGUGCUUGCCUCAACUCUGAGUUUCCUCAGAGAACGAUCAGUAUUAUAGCUGACUUUGUGUUAUGAAUUGGAAUAAUGAGUUGAAUGAAGCACUCACAGUGGGCUAACAUAAAUCUGUCUACAGGGAUCUGCCUGAAAUGUAUCCAUCUUAUUAAAAGCAUUUUGUAUGUUAUGACUGAUUAGUGGGAGGAUUUAAAGGGCUCUGUUGGCGUGGUUCAGAUAAGCAGAGCAAAUAAACACUUGUGGUCUUAUGUCACCUCCUUGAAAUUACAGAUGUAUAUACAAUUUGUAAUGGCAGAUUGCUGCACUUUGAAAACAGCUUUUGAGCUUCUAAUAGAAACCAUUCUCAUCGUUUCAUAUGAGUUAUUGGGUCUUACAAGCUUGUUGUGUUAAAUGUUUGUCUUUUUUUUUCCUUUAUGUGAAGAUGAAACUGUUGUUUUGAUGUGUUUUAAUGAUUAAUUAUCAUGAUGUUGAUUUCUGUUCUAUUGGUAAUGUUGCACUCUGAGCAGGUGCAGUGACUACUAAAGUACGAAGGCAGGAUAUGCGCGUCCAUCCUUACCAAAGGGUAGUGACCGCAGAAAGAGCCGCCACCGGCAACUAACCAAUGACCCUAUGAGCUCUCAACUCUUCACCCAAUGAUGACCUGACCAUUGCCUGUCUGCUGACCAGUUCUCUGGCUCUCGUCCUUCGCUUGUCUGUACUCGCGGCCUGCUGGUGAGCCCGGAAGCAGCUUUAAUUCGCUUAACACAGCGCAGAAGCAGUGACGGCCACACUACGCCACCCAACACCCCCUGAAAUCAACAACUGCCCACUUCCACAAACUGAGGACCUCCAUGGUCAGGUGAUCUAGUCUCCACAAUCUGCACUGAAGCGUCAUACAGCAAUAAUAUGGUCUGGAACAAACCCUUCAAUUCCAUUACCACUCUCCCUCACUCAUUCACGUGCACACACUCACCAGCUCUCACUCUUGCAGACAGUUCUCCUAACAAACAUUAGAGAUUGAGCAUUAACUGUCACAUUGGCUAAACUGUUGUGGGGACCACCCUGGAAUGAAGCAAUGACUUCAGUGUGAUUGUGUGAUGUGGGUGUUCAUGUAGAUCGGCAUGCUCGUGAGGGAGAAAGAAAAUGCAAAUGUUUUUUUGAAGAUAACUUCGAGGCAAAAUGUACAUGGGGGGGCGGGGGAGUUAAAGCCAUGCUUGCCUAUCAGCUUCUUGUUCGCAAAGAUACUGAAGUGCAUCCAGUGAUAAGAAUAAGUGUAAAGACACUGAACACUAAUUAAUACAUUUUUGAUAUGAGGGUGCUGCAAGGGAAAUUACUAUAUUUUUCACAAUAGAUUCUUUUUGUAUGGAACUACAGUAUUGUGAAAAUGUGAUGAACAAAGAAAAAAACAUUUAUUUCUUUACAACGAUGGAGAGAUUUUAGAGACCAAAACAGCGUCUUUUCUUUUUUUUUAAAUCAAAAACUUUCAAAGUGCCUUAUUUUACAUAUGAUCAUUGAGUACGAAUAUCCAUCAGUGUUUAUGACAGCAUAUCAGGUAUAACGUGUAAGUCCCCCCACAUCUUAGUAAAAAUGGGAGGCAUGCAAAUACAUGCAGAACACAUUCAGAUUUUUUUUUGUUCUAAUGUUUAAAAUGUACGCUUUGCCUUUAUUCCUAAUCAACACACUUCUGCCAUGUGUUAACCUACAGUUGUAUUAGUUACUUUGUGAUGCUCACUUUGGUUUUCAAUAAUGUGUCUAGACUAGAGGUGUGAUAACUGUUUGGAUCUUCUGCCACACAACUACCAAGGCCAUGUCAACACAGCCGUUAAGACUUAGCUUCCCAUAACAGUCACUUGUUGAAACUAUUUCUUGGAUGUCAUUUGGUCACUAUUUUUGCAUGAAUUAGCAAAGCAAGUUGGAUUCAGCAGUCCACAUUAGGCCUGUUUGUAGUAAAUUAUAUUCAGCAUUGGUGAAGGGUGAAGGGUUUUUUCCCUCAGUUUUCCGCUAUUAAGAAGUGAACUGUGAAAUAAUACUUGAUAAAAUGGCAUCUCAAAACUAAAACACACUAUGCAAUUGAUUUAUGUUUGCCAAGCUAACUGAAUCAAGGUUUCUUCAGUAGGUCUUCCAAAUUACAGAGCCAAGGCCAAGAAUUAACGUGGAAACUUCAAUCUCAAACAAUUUGAGAAGAAAAACAAUCUAGAACACUUUAGUUAUAUAAUUUGUAACCCGAUUAACUAGGAAGAAUCGGUUUGCUUGUUUUGUUGUUAUAACUGGAUUGUCGGAGGAAGUAUCUCUUUGCCGAUACAUUUGUAUGUAGUGCCAUAUAUGCAAUAGUUUUUGAAGUCCUAGGGAUUCUAAUAGUGUUAUGUAUCUUUUCUUUUUUUUUUUGACUCGUUGAAAUCACCAGAAGAAAAUAUCAUGCAAAUGCAUUGAGAGGCUGCAUUAAAGUUUUUUUUUUUUUUUUUAACCCAACAAGUUUCUCAACUUCUCAAUUAACUUCAAGAACUGGAGUGCUGGGUAAUAGAGUGUUUCCUUCAGUUUAAUGUUUAGUUUCUUUACUUUUAUCAGCAGUAUUAUUGUGUUUGUAUGUGUGUGUGUGUCUGUCUGUCUGUAUUCUGUGUACGUGUGUGAACGCCUGUGAAAUUUCGUGUCUUUGAUAUGAUAAACGCCUAUGAACUGCAGCUCCCUUUUUUAAGCAAUCUUGAUUUUUUUCCAUUGGAAACAUAUGGUCCUAUUUAUAACCAUUGUAACAACUUUAUAAUGUAUUUUUCUAUCAUAUUUUGUAUGUAUGAAAUAACAUUAAAUCAUGUUUUCUGAUAUGAACUCUAUGCCUUAUUACAAAAAUUGAUAUUUGAGAGUUUUGGUUUUUUUCAGUCAGCUGAUCAUGAUCUUUGUGUAUAUUGACGAUACUUUCAGUGAGUAAACAUGCCAAUAGGGUUAUGAUCAUUUUGAGCUAUGGAACAUUAUAAUUUUACACCCAGCAUAUUUUCAGCCAUUGAUGCAACCCCUAUUUACUGUAAAAUGUAGUUUGCUGGGACAUUUGGUUUGUCUUUUGAGUUUCAGUGUUGCUUGACUUCUGUGCCUUUCCAUGUAAAGUGUGAGCUAUUAACCAUUUUAGUUUAUAUAAUCAGAUUAAUCUUUUCUUGCCUCUUGUACUAACAUUUUAAAUAUAUCUUUACAUUAACAUCUUUAUCAGUAAUUUUUGUCUGCUUUGAAUCUUUAAAAAAAUGUGUGAAAUUAAGCAAAAGUGUUGAACUGACAUUUUAAAGGAUGCUGGACUAAACUCUGUACUGAAAAGCAAUAGCAGAAUAUUAAAAAUCAUAGUUUUAAAAGAAA